UACGAAGGGGGCUAGCGUUGCUCGGAAUCACUGGGCGUAAAGCGCACGUAGGCGGAUUGUUAAGUCAGGGGUGAAAUCCUGGAGCUCAACUCCAGAACUGCCUUUGAUACUGAGGAGCUUGAGUCUGGGAGAGGUGAGUGGAACUGCGAGUGUAGAGGUGAAAUUCGUAGAUAUUCGCAAGAACACCAGUGGCGAAGGCGGCUCACUGGCCCGGUACUGACGCUGAGGUGCGAAAGCGUGGGGAGCAAACAGG
rnacentral:rRNA from 1 species